AUAAUGAUCGAUUUGAAAACACGGUUCUGUGCAGAAAUGCACAUACAUGCGUUCAUAAAUUCCAAACUCGUUAAAAUACAUUGGCAUUGAGUGUCUACGUUGAACAAUAAAAAUGGACGUUUUGCAAGUUGUUGUAUUAGUGAUUAUAAAUGUUUUCUAUGCUGAAGCAACCGUUUGUAGGACCUCAUUCGGCUGGAGGGAAUGCUCCCGCGGAUGUUGUACAAACGAAGAAACACAAGUAGUAUCCUGCUGUUGGCCAGAAACUUCGACGAUAGUUAUUACCUUGGUUCCCACUGUUCUGAUUGUAUUCAUUAUGGUCGCCAUUGCCUGCGUUUUCUCUUCGAUGUCUUCAAAGAUUUCAAGGAAGAUUAAUCCAUAAAGUGAUGAGAUACGUCGUUUUGACGACCAUUUAUUUAGCCCUUGUGGCGUACAUGGGAACUCAUUGGCACAGAAAGUAUUUUAAAAAGUGAUGAUCUGAAGCAAGUUGGUGCCAUUAACAUCUGAACACAUAUGUUCUUACUACUAUACGCAGUUCAUUUUGUCUCUUGUUUACGCCAUUUGUAACUAUUUUUCAUACAUUAAAUUUUUAUGUAUAUGUGUGUAUGUGUUUGUGAAAGUAUUUGUAUACAUGUAUGUAUGUAUUUGUUAAUCUUGAAUAAAAGAGACAAAUGAGCCAUA